rnacentral:rRNA from 1 species
AUGAACUCAUGCAGUUUCUCCUGGGAUGAGAAUCCAUCAAAACCAACUCUAAACAAUAUAAAUCUGGUGGUGAAAGCUGGAGAAAAGGUUGCAAUUUGUGGAGAGGUAGGAUCAGGGAAGUCAACGCUUUUGGCUGCUGUACUUGGAGAGGUCCCCAAAACUGAAGGCACGAUUGAAGUCUGUGGGAAAAUAGCAUAUGUUUCUCAGACUGCAUGGAUCCAAACAGGAACUGUACAGGAUAAUAUCCUCUUCGGAUCUUUGAUGGACAGACAGAUAUACCAAGAAACAAUUGAGAGAUGCUCAUUGGUCAAGGACCUUGAAAUGCUGCCAUUCGGCGACCGUACACAAAUUGGGGAGAGAGGAGUAAAUCUAAGUGGUGGUCAGAAGCAGCGUGUUCAGCUUGCUCGUGCACUAUACCAGAAUGCAGACAUAUAUCUUCUUGAUGACCCUUUCAGUGCCGUUGAUGCCCAUACAGCAACAAGCCUCUUCAAUGAUUAUGUCAUGGGUGUUCUAUCUGACAAGACUGUUCUUUUGGUCACCCACCAAGUGGAUUUUCUACCUGUAUUUGACUCCAUUCUGUUAAUGUCAGAUGGGGAGGUUAUUCGGUCUGCACCUUAUCUAGAUUUAUUGGCAGAUUGCCAAGAAUUCAAGUACCUUGUAAAUGCACAUAAAGAUACUGUCGGUGUUCAAGAUCCUAACAGUAUGCCCCCCACGGAGCAAAGGAAAUACCAACAAAGGAGACAGAUGGAAUUCAUGUAA